rnacentral:rRNA from 1 species
UACGAAGGGGGCUAGCGUUGCUCGGAAUCACUGGGCGUAAAGGGUGCGUAGGCGGGUCUUUAAGUCAGAGGUGAAAUCCUGGAGCUCAACUCCAGAACUGCCCUUGAUACUGAGGAUCUUGAGUACGGGAGAGGUGAGUGGAACUGCGAGUGUAGAGGUGAAAUUCGUAGAUAUUCGCAAGAACACCAGUGGCGAAGGCGGCUCACUGGCCCGUUACUGACGCUGAGGCACGAAAGCGUGGGGAGCAAACAGG